UACGUAGGUGGCGAGCGUUGUCCGGAUUUACUGGGCGUAAAGAGCGCGCAGGCGGUCAAUCAAGUCGAGUGUGAAAGCCCCCGGCUCAACUGGGGAGGGUCACGCGAUACUGAUCGACUCGAAGGCAGGAGAGGGUAGUGGAAUUCCCGGUGUAGUGGUGAAAUGCGUAGAUAUCGGGAGGAACACCAGUGGCGAAGGCGACUACCUGGCCUGUUCUUGACGCUGAGGCGCGAAAGCUAGGGGAGCAAACGGG
rnacentral:rRNA from 1 species